UACAACAAGCAUGGCUUCCUCC
rnacentral:piRNA from 1 species